CAGUAGCCGCGGGAAUACCAGCACCUCGAGUGGUCAGGAGGUUUAUUGGGCCUAAAGCAUCCGUAGCCGGUUGCAUAAGUUUUCGGUUAAAUCUAUGCGCUUAACGUAUAGGCCGCCGAAAAUACUGUGCAGCUAGGGAGUGGGAGAGGUACACGGUACUCGAUAGGAAGGGGUAAAAUCCUUUGAUCUAUUGAUGACCACCUGUGGCGAAGGCGGUGUACCAGAACACGUUCGACGGUGAGGGAUGAAAGCUGGGGGAGCAAACCGGAUUAGAUACCCCCGUAGUCCCUGUCUCUUAUAC
rnacentral:rRNA from 1 species